rnacentral:rRNA from 1 species
AUGAAACUCUUAAGUUGGAAUUGUCGAGGGCUCGCAUCACCCUUGGCAAUUCGCUCGCUGCUUAAGCCUGUUAAGAAGCAUGGUCCCGACGUAUUCUUCUUGUCCGAGACUCAUCUUGAUGGCUUGGGAGGGAAGAGGCUGCGUGUGAAGAUGGGGUUUGACACUAUGUAUAUUCCCCCAAGUAAUGGAAGGAGUGGUGGUCUACUUAUGUUUAGUAAGCAGCAUGUAAGUCUGAGUCUAAGAUUUGCACAUCCAAAUUUUAUUGAUGUACUCCCUCCGUUCCGAAAUAUUUGUCUUUCUAGAGAUUUCAGCAAGUGA